AUUGGAGUGCUACGAAAGAGAACCUGCACACAGGUGCUGCAUGGCUGUCGUCAGCUCGUGUCGUGAGAUGUUGGGUUAAGUCCCGCAACGAGCGCAACCCUUGCCAUUAGUUGCUACGAAAGGGCACUCUAAUGGGACUGCCGGUGACAAACCGGAGGAAGGUGGGGAUGACGUCAAGUCCUCAUGGCCCUUAUAGGUGGGGCUACACACGUCAUACAAUGGCCGGUACAGAGGGUAGCCAACCCGCGAGGGGGAGCCAAUCCCACAAAGCCGGUCGUAGUCCGGAUCGCAGUCUGCAACUCGACUGCGUGAAGUCGGAAUCGCUAGUAAUCGCGGAUCAGCAUGUCGCGGUGAAUACGUUCCCGGGUCUU
rnacentral:rRNA from 1 species